rnacentral:rRNA from 1 species
UACGUAGGGUGCGAGCGUGUCCGGUGAAUUAUUGGGCGUAAAGGAGCUUGUAGGCGGGUCUGUCGCGUCUGCCUGUGGAAAAUCCGGGGCUCAACCCCGGACUUGGCAGUGGGGUACGGGCAGACUGAGAGGUGUGGUAGGGGAGACUGGAAUUCUGGUGUAGCGGUAGAAAUGCGCAGAUAUCAGGAGGAACACCGAGUGGCGAAGGCAGCCC